UACGGGGGGGGCUAGCGUUGUUCGGAAUUACUGGGCGUAAAGGGCGCGUAGGCGGCCUACUAAGUCGGACGUGAAAUCCCUCGGCUCAACCGGGGAACUGCGUCCGAUACUGGUGGGCUCGAGUCCGGAAGAGGCGAGUGGAAUUCCCGGUGUAGCGGUGAAAUGCGCAGAUAUCGGGAGGAACACCAAUGGCGAAGGCAGCUCGCUGGGACGUGACUGACGCUGAGACGCGAAAGCGUGGGGAGCAAACAGG
rnacentral:rRNA from 1 species